rnacentral:lncRNA from 1 species
UGAGGUUUCCUUCUUGUUACCCAGGCUGGAGUGCAAUGGCGUGAUCUUGGCUCACCGCAACCUCCACCUCCCAGAUUCGAGUGAUUCUCCUGCCUCAGCCUCCCAAAUAGCUAGGAUUACAGGCAUGUACCACCAUGCCCAGCUAAUUUUGUAUUUUUAUUAGAGACAGGGUUUCUCCAUGUUGGUCAGGCUGGUAUCGAACUCCCGACCUCAGGUGAUCCUCCCACCUCGGCCUCCCAAAGUGCUGGGAUUACAGGCGUGAGCCACCACGCCCAGCAUAAUAUUUUUAAAUUAUUCCUGAUCCCAUAGGUCCCAUUCAGCUACCUCCUGAAGGCACUUAUGGCUGACAAAGUAGGCAAUUAUCAUUUACAGAAAUGUGGCUGGACUGCAGGCCUGGAGCCGAUUAGCCU